GCGCCGGUGGGUAGCGGCCUAGCACGCUGCCCUCUCACGGCAGUAGCGCCGGUUCGAAUCCGGUCGGGGGUA
rnacentral:tRNA from 1 species